CUCAGGAAGGAGAACUGAGAGCCUUUUUCUAAGUGGUGCCUGCUUUGUUUAAGGGGUAAGUUCGCAGCGCUGCGGCAGGGCCUGGCAGCCAGGGACCUUGGCAGAAGCUACAAUAAGAAUGUGGGGCUUUUAAAACUCUGGUCCUCUUGGAUGCCUCCAGUCCAGGCAUAGCUGACUGGGAAGUCAGUACUCUCUCCACACUGCAGUUAAAUGACCGACCUGAGGAUAAUUGGGGUCAUUUGUCACACAAAUGACAAAUGUGAGAGCAAGAAGAGGCUGGAGCAGAAAGUUGGUCAACCUGCAUGCAGAUGAGGUUUCCUGUGACCGCCCCAACCUGCCAAGGACAGUAUGAGCCCAUGGGCAUCACCGGCAGGAUGGACCUCAUGUCCUCCACAGCCAGCACACAAGCGAAUUGUGGCUUCCUGGCCACUGGGCUAGCAUGGGCAACCCCCAGGGACCUCUGUUCCUGUGGGACCUGAAAACUGUAAAUGUGGGCAGGAUAGAUUCUUCUCCUGCUCUUCCACAGCUGCAAAGGCCCCUCCUUGUCACAUAAGCACUUAAUUAACAUAAUGAGCAGCUACUGAGUUGAUUGUUAUCAUCAUCUGCCUCUUUGUUAGAAGUGGAGCCAUGCUGGGGCCCAACCAGGAGCCGGCCAGGCAGACCCAGGCAGGAGAGAACACAUGGAGGUGAGUAACCACUGCAGGCUGGCACUCAAUGAGGCAGGUGUCUCUUCUCUGGCCUAGGGCGGGGCAAAGGAGGAGGUGGCGUGCUUUGCUCAUCCUGCAGAGCAAGGCUCCCUAGCCACCAAUCCCCCACUAGUCAGAUGCAUUCUACUGGGAACACAGCUAAUCGGAUGCUCAGAAAGACCAAGGUUUAUGUUAUAUCUACUCUUUCCACAGUUUACUGUCCAUGAAUGUUCCAAGCUCCACCACUGGAAGUGACUCUCCACAGAGUUCAGUAAGAGAGAGAGAGACACCAUAGAAAUCUGAAGAUGGCUUUGCCCUUCGACUCUGCAAUCUGCUCGCUACUCUCAGGAGGGACUGGAGCAGAACCCUGGCUGUCCGGGACAUUCCUGUUUUUCUCAAGAUGCUGCAUGCCUGGCACAUUCGGGUUAUUUGUGAGAACUACAAGUGAGAAAGAGGGAGAACAGUCUGUGUUUUCGUCCCUCUUGCCAUGUUUCGCCCUCUCAAUCACUCUCUUGGGCAUAACAAGUCCUGGAAGUGCAGAUGUUGCUGACGGGGAUUUGUGCGGAUCAAUGAGGCGCACCAACCUGAGGCCUGGAGACCUGAAGCCUGUGGAGGGGACGGGUUAUUACAGCCUGUAGGCCAAGACCCGAUAUCUGGAGGUUAUUGGGAUCCACUCACAGCAAAGAUGGACCACAGCACCCUCGCCCUAGGGAGGAAAGUCCUCUCCCUGGCAGGGUUCCACUGGAGUGAGGUUUGGACCAGGAGAAGGGGUGGGUGAGGAUAUUCAACAGGGGAAAGGAUGCCCCAUGACCAUCUGAGGUGAGCUCUGACAUGGAAUGAUGGUUGGCUAAAGGACAAAUGAAGAUAAAUGUCUUAGGGAAUCUCGGGAUUAAUGUGAGACCUAGUAAUAGCCUUGACCAAAACACUCCUGUUUUCCCAAGGAUUCUCCCAUUCCACAGUUUUUAUUUAAUUAUAAGUAAGACAGGCUGAGCAGAGUGGCUCAUGCCUGUAAUCCCAGCACUUUGGGAGGCAGAGGCAGGAGGAUCACUUGAGGUCGGGGGUUUGAGAACAGCCUGGCCAACAUGGUGAAACCCCAUCUGUACUAAAAAUUCAAAAAUUAGCUAAGUGUGGUGGUGAGUGCCUGUAAUCCCAGUUACUCAUUGGGAUGCUGAGGCAGGAGAAUCACUUGAACCCGGGAGGUGGAGGUUGCAGUGAGCUGAGAUCGCACCACUGCACUCCAGCCUGGGCGACAGAGGGAGACUCUGUCUCGAAAAACACAUAAAUAUUAUAAUAUAAUAUCGACAGACUUAGCCCCUACUAUGUGUCAGAAACUGUGCAGUGCACUGGAAUCCAGCAGGACACAUAACAGACAAAAUCCCCACACUCUCAGAUCUUACACAUAGGGUGGGGGAUGAACGAAUAAACCCCGACACUGUCCUGUGGGGAUAAAGGAUUUGGGAGAAAACAAAGCCAGGCAAAAGCAAGGAGAAUG
ensembl:lncRNA